GCCCUAAAAAGACCAAAAAAAAAAAAGAAAAGAAAAGAAAAGACAAAAAAGAAAGAAAGAAGAAAAAAAAGAAAGAAACCAAAGGAAGCCAGAGUUGCUGGAGCUCAGUGAGCAGUGUUAUAAGACAAGAUUGAAGAGGUCAACAGGAACCAGAUUACAAAAGAUCAUGUAAACUCUUGUAAGGAUUUUUAGCUUUCUUCUAAGAAAAAUGAGAAAAAAAUUGAAGAGUGGUAGACUGAGGACUAGUAUGAUCAGGCUGGAGUCAGAGAUCACCGUGGUGGCAAUAUGAAGAAGGCAUUAGAUUUGAGGAUGACCAUAGUGGACAUGAAAGCUCUUACAGUGGUCUGGGUAAGAAAAGACGGUGGCUUGGAUUAGGGGUGAUGUCAGAAUAGCUGUAUAGAAACGAAGAGAUUCAAGAUCUGUCUUGAAAGUAGAAUUAACAGGACUGAGUGAUGAGUAAUACAUGUGGGAAAAGGGAUAUUGAAUUAGAGCUCUUGGUUGCGAGAUAUAAAAACCAACUCUGGCUGACUUAAACAAGAAAAGGAAUUUAAAAAAUAAGGAUAUUGGACAACUCACAGCAUUGAUUGAAAGUCUAGAGAACUAGGAUUAGAAAUGAUGGCGCAAGAUCAGCAGGAACUAAUUGACAGGCUCAUCAGGCCACCACUGGAAUGAAAGAAGUCCAACUUAUUUUUCCAUCUUUGUAUCAUUCCACCUAUGACUCAGAGUCUCCGAAAAAGCACUCCAACUAGCUGAGCAUAACCCAUAUGCCUGGCUUUUGAUAUAUACCAAGACAAUUAGAGUGGAAGAAAGCUUCAGUUGUAUCUGGGAACCCCUUCAGCUCUCAUAGAGGGAGGGCAAGUAACUUUGACUUACAGUCCUCAAAACUGCACAAAAGUUAGUGAAGGAAAUCCCCACCUCCACCCCACCCACAAAAUUAGGGUGCUGUUAGAAAGAGAAGUUGAAUUUGUCUUAGCCAAAGAAACAUCAGAUGCUCACUACAGACAGGGAGGUGUCAUGGAUGUCUUUUUUUUUUUUUUUUUCCCCUCAGACUUAAAAACAAAAAUGUCUGGUUAAUCCUGUCAAAGAGAAAAACCACAUGCCCAAAAUGAUGUCACUUGUGCUAAGACCCAUGAUUUCAAACCUAGAUUUAAAACCUAACCUAGUUGCAGUGUGACCUUCCCCAGAAAUGUUAUCUUAGUGUGAAAUUUUCCAGUCAGCAACAAAUGGGGUAAUCAGUCAAGUGGGCCCUGUCCAUCACCUCUCAGAGGAGGAAGAAGCAAUUUGUGCGAUGAAACACUUGCCUUUCCUUUCUCCUCCAAAAGAAGAUGUUUGGCCGCAAAUAACCCUUUCUUUUCUUUAGUGAAUGACGUCUUUGCUCCACCCGCCUUCCUAUAAAAGCUUUCCAUUUUGUAGCUUUUGUUUGAGGGCUCUUCUAGUUGCUGGAUGGGAUCUGCUUAACUCAUGAAUGUUGAAUAAAGCCAAUUAGAUCUGAUUUACUCAGUUGAAUUUGAGGUUUGAGGUUCUUUUUUUUUUUUUUUUAAGGGCCACACCUGCAGCAUGUGGAAGCUCCCAGGCUAGUGGUCGAAUGGGUGCUACAGCCACAGCAACUGCAAAAUUGCAUAUUUAACACACUGAGCAAGGCCAGGGAUUGAACCCACAUCCUGGUCGGGUUACUGCUGAGCCACAAAAGGAACUCCUUGAAUUUUGUUUUUUGAUAGUCUUCUUCAAGUAUCAAGAAGGUCUAAAUGAUAGAAACAUAAAGGGCUUACCCAAGGACAUAAGCUCUUUGCAGACUCUCUAGCUUAAAAAAAAAAAAAAAGGGGGGGGGAGGCAAGGGGACCCUGCUACAAAUAGAAAAAUAAACAAAUUUGGGAAUAAAGUGCAGUCCCCAGGGCAUAUUAAUGUUUGGAGGCCAAGUAAUGUUAAUCAUUUACACUUAUAGUCCUGUUUUUUUUUUUUAAUUUUUUUUGGAAUUCCCAUCAUGGCACAGCGGAAACAAAUCUGACUAGUAUCCAUGAGGAUGUGGGUUCCAUCCCUGGCCUUGCUCAGUGGGUCAGCGAUCCGGCGUUGCCAUGAGCAGUGGUGUAGGUCACAGACGUGGCUCAGAUCUGGUGUUGCUGUGGCUGUGGUGUAGACCGGCAGCUGUAGCUCUGAUUUGACCCCUAGCCUGGGAACAUCCAUGUGCCACAGGUGUGUCCCUAAAAAGCAAAAAAAAAAAAA
rnacentral:lncRNA from 1 species